UGCAAGUCGUACGAGAAAGCCUCUUCGGAGGUGAGUAAAGUGGCGCACGGGUGAGUAACGCGUGGGUAAUCUGCCCUUUGGUUUGGGAUAACCCCGGGAAACCGGAGCUAAUACCGAAUAAGACCACGAUGACUUCGGUCGAUGUGGGAAAAGGUGGCCUCUUCUUGAAAGCUAUCACCAAUGGAUGAGCCCGCGUUUGAUUAGCUUGUUGGUGAGGUAAAAGCUCACCAAGGCUGCGAUCAAUAGCUGGUCUGAGAGGAUGAUCAGCCACACUGGAACUGAGACACGGUCCAGACUCCUACGGGAGGCAGCAGUCGGGAAUAUUGGGCAAUGGGCGAAAGCCUGACCCAGCAACGCCGCGUGAAGGAUGAAGGCCCUAGGGUCGUAAACUUCUGUCGAGAGGGAAGAAUGCUUGCGGACUAAUAAUCCGUAAGUUUGACGGUACCUCCAAAGGAAGCACCGGCUAACUCCGUGCCAGCAGCCGCGGUAAUACGGAGGGUGCAAGCGUUGUUCGGAUUUAUUGGGCGUAAAGCGAGUGUAGGCGGCUUAGCAAGUCGGGUGUGAAAUCCCAGGGCCCAACCCUGGAACUGCACUCGAUACUGCUAGGCUAGAAUUCCGGAGAGGGUGGCGGAAUUCCCGGCGUAGGGGUGAAAUCCGUAGAUAUCGGGAGGAACACCAGUGGCGAAGGCGGCCACCUGGACGGUAAUUGACGCUGAGACUCGAAAGCGUGGGUAGCAAACAGGAUUAGAUACCCUGGUAGUCCACG
rnacentral:rRNA from 1 species